rnacentral:rRNA from 1 species
AUAUCAGUCAUGCAUAGCAUAUCAAUAAGCGGAGGAAAAGAAACUAACAAGGAUUCCCUUAGUAACGGCGAGUGAAGCGGGAAGAGCUCAAAUUUGAAAUCUUCAAGGUUUUACCUUGACGAAUUGUAGUUUAAAGAAGUGUUUUCUGUUGAAGUUUCGGUAAAAGCUCCUUGGAAUAGGACAUCAUAGAGGGUGAGAAUCCCGUAUUUGACCAUUACUUUCAGCUUUGUGAUACACUUUCAAAGAGUCGGAUCGUUUGGGAAUGCAGUCCAAAAUGGGUGGUAAAUUUCAUCUAAAGCUAAAUAUUGGCGAGAGACCGAUAGCGAACAAGUACCGUGAGGGAAAGAUGAAAAGAACUUUGAAAAGAGAGUUAAACAGUACGUGAAAUUGUCAAAAGGGAAGCGUUUGACACCAGUGUUGUUUUCUCGAAAAUCAAUUAAAAAGAGUUGGAUUUUGUGUUGUAUUGACUUUAUCAGCUUUCUUCACUCUUUUCCAGCUUUUUUUAAUGCACUUUUCGUUUAACAAGUCAACAUCAGUUUCUUUUGUUGUAAAAAGGUCAUUGGAAGGUGGCUUUCUCUUCGGAGAAAGUGUUUAUAGCCUUUGACUCAUGCAAUCGGAGAGACUGAGGUCUGCAGCGUAGAUCCUUCGGGGUUAGAUACAUUUGUGCUAGGUUAUAGCUUUUCAUAGACAACUUGUUGACUAUGUUUAGUCUUGUAGCUUACUCGCUUAGUGCUAUUUUACCUACGCUUAGGAUGUUGAACUCUAUCACACACAG